rnacentral:lncRNA from 10 species
ACCCUUGAAUAUCUCUAACCCCUGAUCCACUGGGGAGGCUGAUUUGAGUAAUAAUAAACCUCUGUCCUCCUGUUUGGCAGACUUGGAGUCGUUAAAAUCUUUCUUGACUAGAAACCAACAUUUCAAUAAUUUUUUUUUUUUUUUUUUUUUUUUUUUUUUUUGUGCAGGAGGCCAGAAGAACUUGCCUGGCAAUUAUGAGUGGAUGGAGGAACUGCCUAUCCCUGUCCCAUUGUCUUGUCCACAGGUCAGCCUCACAAAGGGAAAGAGCCCUGGAUGGGAAUACAGUGGAAGCUCAUUCUCUUAGUGACCUGGGGACAUUGGCUCGAGAUGAAGCCUGGCAGGAGUGGCAACUCCAGGUGAUUUCUGCACCUUUCCUAUUUCCUGGGAGGUGGGCCAGGCCACAGUGUUAGUGGGAAGGGAACAGAACAGCCAGCCUAGUCAGAGGGAGUGUCUGGGGAAGGCCUAGGGGUGGGGGAAGAAGCUGUGCAGGACAGGGCUUGCCAGUCAGAAUGAAGUGGGAGGAAGAUGAGGGACACAGAGAAGCAGAGAGAGGCAGAGACACCAUGGCAGUGAGCAGUGAGGGAGACACUGACUUCAAAAACCCCAGGGACCAGGUGCCCCCAGCUCCACAGUCCAGGACCAAAGAGCCCUGAGAACCCUCCAGUGGCCAAAGAGCUUCAGAAUUACAUGAGCUGGGGUGGCUUUAGGGGCAAGAGGUAGUGGGGGGAUGAAACAUGGGUGUCAGCCUCUGAAGGACAAGGGACAGGUGUGGCUAGAAACUCCUAGGAUUCUGCAUGCAAAUUCAGUCUCUAAAGAGGUUUUGGAUCAUUCAUUUCAUUCCAUUCCUUCAUUUGUUAUGUGAGAGCUCCUGAGUGUGUGUCUGUCUCGCUGGGCCUGUGCUGGUGUAGGGUGUGAGUGGGGAAAGAAAAGGUCCUCUCCUUGAUCCUCUCAUGACAGUGACAUGGACACUUUGGGAAACACAGGAUUUCAGGUUCAGUGAUGGGGGCUAAGAUCUGAGGGGGAGGCCUGGACAUGUUUUUUCCACUGACUCUGAUGGUUGAGGCAGGUGAUUUAGUUCUGGAGUACAGACUAAUCAGUUGACCAUUUUCUCUCACUCCUCUGAGGUUUGGAUGCCUAAGAAGAGAGGUUUUGAGCCAAUAAAUGACUAUGGGGUGCUUGGAAGCCAGUGAGCCCUCACUUCUGGUGGAGGAGAGGAUGAGCCUGUGGCUGCGGACACACCUCAUGUGACCCUGAUCUCCCCUUUGUGAUUGUGUGACUCUGGCUCAGGGACUGUGUCUUCCUGUACCUCAGUUUUCUGUCAAUCAGAUAAGCUAAAUGGCAAAUGGACAGUGGCUUUUCAUGCUAUCUGUGAAUAAAUGUUAAAUGAUUCACAGUCACCUGACCUAAUGCUUGGCACAGUGGAGGUUUCACACAAAUAGCAUUUAUUAUUAAUUUGCUUCCAUGAGAAAGCCCCUUUGCGUCAGAUCCCUGUGGGCAAGCUGCUACCAGGUACAUCUUCUCUCUUGUGUUUCUGCUUCUGGGGACAUUAGACUUUCUAUGGACUGGCCUAAGCCUCCUAAGGCAGUUGUCUGAUGGCCUACAAAGCUUGUCUUUCUGUCCUCUCCACUCUGAGUGUCAGGUGAAGAAAACUCUGUCCUUGCCCAGAUGAGGCUCUGAGGGCUGAGCCCUGGCUGGUGAACAGCUCCAGGAGACACAGUCCUCUGACAGCUGGUAAAUCCUCGGUCCCAGUAAGCCCUGCCCAAGAAGCCACAACCCAGCCCCAGCACAGGCUCCUCAGAUUUAUCUGGAGCAAGGAUUUAGGGACACUGUUCUGGGGGUGAGGCUUCUAGGGCUGAGCUUCUCUGAGAGUAUCUCAGGGGCUCCUCAGGCCAAGCCCUACUCAGUUCUCCAGGGUCUUUCUCAGGGUCAAAUUUAUGAAGAGGGCAUGAGGUGCUUGUCUGAGACUGAUCUCCUCCUGCUGAGUCCCCCCAUCAGACUGUCCUUCCUCUGCAGCGAGUGUCUGCAGGGUCUGGAUGCGGGAAAGGAAUUCUGAUCUGUUGAAAUUUGUCUCCUCUGUGUGUGUCCUGCACUAAAUGCCCAAACCCCAGCAUGGGACAUAAUGCAGAGAGGGACACAGGCAAUGUCCAGGCCUGACAAUCCUGUGUGUGUGAAGUAGAAGUGACCCCUGUCCCCCAACACCCAGGGAUCAUGUGGAAUCACUCACGAUAUAAGGUGAAGGUGAAAUGUCCAGUUACUCCUCUAUUCUCAUCACCUCCCAUUAUGAUGUGUAAGGUGUAGGAUCCUGCGUCUUCCUGGGUGACAUUCUGGAUCAGCAGGGAUGCAUUGGAAUAUAUUGUUUCUCGUCCACUGUAUGCAGGCCCAUAUAUAAUUAUUUGACCGUCUACUACAUAUGAUGUAAUGUAAUGGUAGAGGUCCCUGAUUUGCCCUUUGUACCAGAUGUAGCCAGUAAGAUUCUGGGGCAAAUUGUGGACAAGUAGAAGAACAUCCUUCCCCUCAGAAACUUUGGUUGGCUGGGCUUCAAUCGUGACUUGGGCAGUCGUGGGUGGGUUCCAGAAGUUUAAAAGUGAUGCUAGGAGGUGGAGAGAGCAUCAGUCAAUAUUGAGAGCUAUGUAUUGGUGUGAAAACAUGGGGCCCUGGGUCCUGAGAAGUUCUCUUCAGUCCUCAGCCUUGAAGACACAGACACACACACAUACAAACACACGCACACACACACACAAAAGCGGCAUGUGUGUCUGUGUGUGUGUAUGUGUGUGUGUCCUACUAUCCUACUAGGUCAAGGUCAGCCCCAUGACCCCCAUUCCUUCAACACUUCUGACCUUGGCAUUUUUCUGUUUGCAAUCCUCUUCCCCAGGGGUCCGCAUGGCCCCCUCCACACUGCCCUCAGGUCCUGCUCACAUCAGGGCAUCCUUAGAUUUCUUUCCUGACACCUCCUUCAGAUACCCUGGGUCUUCCCUUUCUGACCUUUCCCUGCUCUGCUCCCUCCAGGGUUCUUCUCAACACCUGACCUUACAUUCUAGAUCUCUUUGCAUGUCUGUCUUCCCCUCCAUGACAGCGUGAGCUCCAUGAGGACAGGGAUUUUUGUGAUCUUGGUUGCACCCCAGUGCCCAGAACAGGCUGCAGACUCCUGUAGAUGUGAGAGUUCUCAGGGCCCUCCACGCCCUUGGUGUUUUUUUUUCCCCCCA